GCGGGGAGAAGAAUGGACCUUAUGGGGGACGACAAAGGAUACUGCAACCGCUGAGCCUGCCUCACCUCACGCUGGGGGAGAGAGUCACACUCACAGGGUGCACUUUGACCAUGUUAAAACUUCCUCAAGAGGAGACAGAACUUUGAGGAAUAAUGUCCAAAAUGAGAAAUACAAGACAGUGAUGCAGGAAUCCUAAAGGUUGAAAAGAUUGGAUGCUGUAUUCUAGUUCUGUCCCAAAAUACGUUUCAGUUAGACAGUGGAACAAGUAGUUACCCACCCUGGAGAAGCCAAACUCACUUCUGCUCAAAGGACAGCUCACAUACUGAAUCCCACAGUGUCAUGAAAGGUAGCUUGCUGACAUCAUAGACUUUUUUUUAUUCUUUCCACUGACACGUGAACACUCCACUGUGGAAAGAUACAGACCAAAAGAUUUUGUUACGGAUGAAUUCAAUAGGACACCAGAUCCUUACACUGAAAACUGCUGUUC